rnacentral:rRNA from 1 species
AGUGAACGCUGGCGGCGUGCCUAAUACAUGCAAGUCGAACGGAGUGGCGCACGGGUGUGUAAUGUAUAGCUAAUCUGCCCUACACUAGAGGACAACAGUUGGGAACGACUGCUAAUACUCUAUAGUGUAGGAUGAGGCUAUAUUGUCUCAGCUAGUUGGUGAGGUAUUGUCUCACCAAGGCUAUGACGCAUAACUGGUCUGAGAGGAUGAUCAGUCGCACAGGAACUGAGACACCAGCCAGACACCUGCGGGAGGAAGCAGGAGGGAAGAAUGCUCAGUGGGAGAAACCCGGAAGGAGGCAGGCUGCGGGGAGGAUGACACUUUGCGGAGCAUAAACUCCUUUUGUUAGGGAAGCGGUACCUAACGAAUAAGCACCGGCUAACUACGUGCCAGCAGCCGCGGUAAUAC